CAGCACCUCAAGUGGUCAGGAUGAUUAUUGGGCCUAAAGCAUCCGUAGCCGGCGCUGUAAGUUUUCGGUUAAAUCUGUACGCUCAACGUACAGGCUGCCGGGAAUACUGCAGCGCUAGGGAGUGGGAGAGGUAGACAAUACUCGGUAGGAAGGGGUAAAAUCCUUUGAUCUAUUGAUGACCACCUGUGGCGAAGGCGGUCUACCAGAACACGUCCGACGGUGAGGGAUGAAAGCUGGGGGAGCAAACCGGAUUAGAUACCCGCGUAGUCC
rnacentral:rRNA from 1 species